GGGGGUACCGUCACCCCGUAGGCUAUUAACCUCGGAAGCUUCGUCCCCCCUGAAAGCGGUUUACAACCCUAAGGCCGUCUUCCCGCACGCGGCGUUGCUGCGUCAGGCUUUCGCCCAUUGCGCAAGAUUCCCC
rnacentral:rRNA from 1 species